rnacentral:rRNA from 1 species
UACGGAGGGUGCAAGCGUUAUCCGGAUUCACUGGGUUUAAAGGGUGCGUAGGUGGGUUGGUAAGUCAGUGGUGAAAUCUCCGAGCUUAACUUGGAAACUGCCAUUGAUACUAUCAGUCUUGAAUAUUGUGGAGGUCAGCGGAAUAUGUCAUGUAGCGGUGAAAUGCUUAGAUAUGACAUAGAACACCAAUUGCGAAGGCAGCUGGCUAGACAUAUAUUGACACUGAGGCACGAAAGCGUGGGGAGCAAACAGG